AGAGUUUGAUCCUGGCUCAGGACGAACGCUGGCGGCGUGCUUAACACAUGCAAGUCGAGCGGAAAGGCUCCUUCGGGGGUACUCGAGCGGCGAACGGGUGAGUAACACGUGAGUAAUCUGCCCUUCACUUCGGGAUAACUGCCUGAAAGGGUGGCUAAUACCGGGUAUUCUCCUUGCACCGCAUGGUGUGGGGUGGGAAGUUUUUUCGGUGGGGGAUGUGCUCGCGGCCUAUCAGCUUGUUGGUGGGGUAAUGGCCUACCAAGGCUUUGACGGGUAGCCGGCCUGAGAGGGUGACCGGCCACACUGGGACUGAGACACGGCCCAGACUCCUACGGGAGGCAGCAGUGGGGAAUAUUGGACAAUGGGCGGAAGCCUGAUCCAGCAACGCCGCGUGAGGGAUGACGGCCUUCGGGUUGUAAACCUCUUUCAGCACAGACGAAGCGCCUGUGAAGGUGGUGACGGUAUGUGCAGAAGAAGCACCGGCCAACUACGUGCCAGCAGCCGCGGUAAU
rnacentral:rRNA from 1 species